CUGAGCUCUGGCCAGCAGUCCCGGGUGACGCUCGGGAUGACGGGUGCCCUUCUUCAGGAAAGCACCCCGGCCAGAGCAGCCACCCGACUGUGACUCUACUGGAAACGAUGAGAAAACCACGCAGUGGAACCAUGUGAGCCCCCACGCUAUAAUAGAUGGCCAGAAAGUUCAACAGGACCCACCGAGAAUACAAGCAUGUGGGGUAUUGGCCUUUCCCGUGCUUAUUUUAGGCAUCACAAAUAUUUUGUUAACUGAAAAAUUCUUCAGUGCACACGAACUCACUUUUUCACUAUUUGAAGUAAAAGGAAUCUUUAAAUAAAAAAAAAAAAAGUGUCACAGAAAAUAGGAGACUUGCCAUACCAGAGACUUCACUGGAAAGUUUACCAGAUUCAGCUGGAUAUUGUGGCUCUUACCAGUAAUUUCAGCCCUGAGAGGAUCUCCGUGCGUUCAAGGCUAACCUGUACUACACAGGGAGUUCCAGGCUAUCAGCACGUAAGACCCUGUCAUUAUCUUCAUCAUCCAUCAUCAUCACCAUCAUCACCACCAUCAUUACCAUCACCAUCAUAAUGAUGAUGAUAAAAGGUUGGUCUCAGCAUUUCACUGUCGUGGGCCAUCCACUUAGAAUUAUACUGUGGUAUUUUUUUGUUGAUGUUUAGUUUUUGUCAG
rnacentral:lncRNA from 1 species